AAAGCUUUGGAGGUGGAAGUGCAUACCCUUCUGCACUGCAUUGAUUUUCACUCUGGCUCUUUUCAAAUAGGGCUGGUCCUUGAUUGAUCUUGGCCACAAGGAUGAUUCAGAGUGAAACUGCAAAGCAGAGCAAAACCUUUUUUCUGCCUUCUGCAACUCAGAGAAAAAGAUACCCAGGGUAUCUCAGCCUCCUGAAUAAACCCCUGCAGUCACGGUGUUCAGCUGCUUGGUGUGGCAAUCCCCCCUCUGAGAACGACCCGGAGGCUGUCAUCUAACAAGAGGCACCAGUGCUGGAUGGGAUGCCAGGUGCCAUUUCCGUGCAGCAGGGCCAGUUCCAGCCCCUCCACCUGCCUACCUGGGGGUGCCAAGGACACUGAAACGACUGCUUCUCAACCACCUGGUAAAAUGUUUUGUGGGUUUUUUCCGGUUUAUUUUUAACACAGAUCAGUUCACUGAUCUCAUUUUCCAUGUGGCCUCAGGGGGUGCCUUGGGAAGAAACAGUUGUGCCAAAGCAAACAGUGUGAGAUGGGAACAAGUGGCUGAAGGUCAGCAGUGCUGAGCUGACGCUGUCCCGAGGAGCGCUGCAGCCAGGGCACUGCUCCCACCCGGCACGCACAGAGAGGUGAAUGCCUUGGGGGCCCUGCGGGCACUGCCAGGGGCUGCAGCAACCCGCAGAUGAAGGCUGCUGCAGAAGGAUGGUUUGAGGGUUACAGUAUAAUCCUUCUGGAGGCUCUGACAUCACAAAUCAGUUGUGGCACUUGCAUAGAGCAAGGUAGUUCAGGCUAGUGUAUAGUCAGGGCUCUUCUUUAGCACUUUCCUUUUCUACAUGUAUGUUAUGAAGACAGAAAUAAUGGGGCCCUUAAAACACAAGAAGUGUUCUUUUAACACCCCAGUUAGAUAUCUUAGAAAGGUAACAUGUAUCACCUGCACUGUACUUCAAGUAGUAUUUAACUCUGCUUUUAUUAGCUUAUCAUUAUUUUCCUAAAUUUCAUUAAGAGCCUGAGGUUGGAAAAGUGCACACGAAAUAAAAACAAGCUCUACCUUCCUGUCAGCUGCUAACAGUCUUUCAGGCAGUUAAUCAGGAUCCUCUAUGAGAAUAACAGAAAUGAUAUAGUGAAUAAGUCCUGCUUGGUCAGGUUUAUUACUUAGUUUACCAUCUUUGCUUCCUUGAGAAGAUGGUUUCUGAGGCUAUAUGAGAAGGUCAAGCCCCUUUUGACCUUAGGGUUGUCAGUUGGAUCUGGAGAUCAGUAGAAAUUCUAGGACACAGCUGUGGAGGUGUGUGAG
rnacentral:lncRNA from 13 species